UGAUCAGACACCAAAGAAUCCACACAGGCG
rnacentral:piRNA from 1 species